rnacentral:rRNA from 1 species
UUGGGAAGUAAAAGUCGUAACAAGGUUUCCGUAGGUGAACCUGCGGAAGGAUCAUUACCUAGAGUUUGCAGACUUCGGUCUGCUACCUCUUACCCAUGUCUUUUGAGUACCUUCGUUUCCUCGGCGGGUCCGCCCGCCGGUUGGACAACAUUCAAACCCUUUGCAGUUGCAAUCAGCGUCUGAAAAAACUUAAUAGUUACAACUUUCAACAACGGAUCUCUUGGUUCUGGCAUCGAUGAAGAACGCAGCGAAAUGCGAUAAGUAGUGUGAAUUGCAGAAUUCAGUGAAUCAUCGAAUCUUUGAACGCACAUUGCGCCCCUUGGUAUUCCAUGGGGCAUGCCUGUUCGAGCGUCAUUUGUACCUUCAAGCUCUGCUUGGUGUUGGGUGUUUUGUCUCGCCUCCGCGCGCAGACUCGCCUUAAAACAAUUGGCAGCCGGCGUAUUGAUUUCGGAGCGCAGUACAUCUCGCGCUUUGCACUCAUAACGACGACGUCCAAAAGUACAUUUUUACACUCUUGACCUCGGAUCAGGUAGGGAUACCCGCUGAACUUAAGC